UACGGAGGGGGCUAGCGUUGUUCGGAAUUACUGGGCGUAAAGCGCGCGUAGGCGGCUUUGUAAGUUAGAGGUGAAAGCCCGGAGCUCAACUCCGGAAUUGCCUUUAAGACUGCAUCGCUAGAAUCAUGGAGAGGUGAGUGGAAUUCCGAGUGUAGAGGUGAAAUUCGUAGAUAUUCGCAGGAACACCAGUGGCGAAGGCGGCUCACUGGCCCGAUACUGACGCUGAGGCACGAAAGCGUGGGGAGCAAACAGGG
rnacentral:rRNA from 1 species